rnacentral:lncRNA from 1 species
AUCAGAUCCGUGCACGUGGCUGCUCUUGGCCUCUCCUUCCCUUCCUCCCACACCAAAAGUCCUACAGGAAAUCUUGGCAGAGCCUUCCCACAGCUCCUGGGCAGGAAAAUCCCUUUUUCCUGUGCGGCUGGGUGGGGGAUUUGGAGGGGAACACAGCAGUGAUGCUGGAGCAGAUCUGCAGGGAAGCUGUGGGGCAAGGGCACAUUAAUUACAUCAGAGGGAAACCCAGAGCUGGAGCUUUGAAAAUGAGAUCAGGAGGAUUACUGGGAAAAUAAUCAGCAGGAAGCAAUCUUACCUUGGAAAUAAAAAAGAGCAGGAGAACACAGGUAGGAAUAUUCCAGUGCUGGUUCCUAACUUGCAAUAAUGAAUUGGUGGCACAUUUCAUAAAACCUCCUCAGAGUGUCCUUGUUUCUUUCAGAGGUGUGUGCAUUAAUAAAGUGAAAAAAAAUUAAAAAAAAAAAGAAAAAAAGAUGGUGUUACCGUGUGUUUAGUGCUGUUUUUCUCCUUAAAAAGGAGUUUGACUCCUGUCUGCCUUGAGUGGGAGCCAGCAGAGGGAGACAAGCCUCUGAGCUUAAUCCAGGCCUGCUUUCUCCUCUCCAACAACUUCUCCAGUUCUUAUUUAUUUAUAUUUUCUUUUUUUUUUCCUUCUGCAUUAUUAUUGUUUGGACUGAGAUACUGUUUUUAUGAAAAAUAGCUCGAAAUUACCCUUACCUUGCAGUUACAGAGAGGAUUAGAUUAAAAAUGCUGCAGAGAGAUUUGGGUGAGCGAACACGUGGCAACAUCUUCCUGUGGGAACAACACAAGGAGCAGAUUGGCCAGAUGAAAGCUGCUAAGCUGGAAUUGUUAGAAAAUGCAGGUCUGCAAGAGAGUGGCAGUCACUGGAGUGGGCCAGGCUUUUAUCCCAGCACCAUGGACUUGUGAUGGAAAUGCCAAAACCUCAGUGAAGAUGGACCCUGGGCACAGCUGAAGUUUCACAUUGUUCUUCUCUAGGCAAGACUGUCCUUGUGAUGCUUCUGUUCUCAGACUAAACAGUAAUGAUCCCUGCUUUGUAUCUGUCCAAAAUUCCUCCUAAAUUCAUUAUUGGGAGCCCACUAUGAUAAACAAGUAGGAAAAGAGUCUCACUGCAAUUCUUCUUUCUGCUGGGUCUUCACUUUCUGCCAUCACAAAAAGCAGCACAGAGCUCCAUUUGGAAUUUCUAGCCUGGGUUU